GCCAGACUCCUACGGGAGGCAGCAGUGGGGGAUAUUGCACAAUGGGGGGAACCCUGAUGCAGCGACGCCGCGUGGGUGAAGGAGCGUUUCGGCGCGUAAAGCCCUAUCGGCAGGGAAGAAGGAGGACGGUACCUGACUAAGAAGCCCCGGCUAAAUACGUGCCAGCAGCCGCGGUAAUACGUAUGGGGCAAGCGUUAUCCGGAUUUACUGGGUGUAAAGGGAGCGUAGGCGGCCUGGCAAGCCUGAUGUGAAAUACCGGGGCCCAACCCCGGGGCUGCAUUGGGAACUGCCAGGCUGGAGUGCCGGAGAGGCAGGCGGAAUUCCUAGUGUAGCGGUGAAAUGCGUAGAUAUUAGGAGGAACACCAGUGGCGAAGGCGGCCUGCUGGACGGUGACUGACGCUGAGGCUCGAAAGCGUGGGGAGCAAACAGGAUUAGAUACCCGUGUAAGA
rnacentral:rRNA from 1 species